rnacentral:rRNA from 1 species
UUUAGCAGUGAGGAAUAUUGGUCAAUAGCCUAACGGCUGAACCAGCAACUUGGAAGAAUGUAUAGCAAGAGCUAAUUGUAUUAACAAAAUAAAUAGUUUUUACAAUCUCGAUUUAUUCGAAUAAAAUUCUAGGUAGAUUUAUGAUAAUGACAUUAUCUAUCUAUGUGUCUUGACCAAAAUACGUGCCAGCAGUCGCGGUAAUACGUAAGAGACUAGUGUUAUUCAUCUUUAAUUGGUUUAAAGCGUACCUAGACGGUAAUUAUAGCCUAAACCAGGUACUUUUUUACUAGAGUUAUAUGUAAGGGUGUUUUAAAGUACUGUUGAGUUUAGAGAUGAAAUUCUUUGACACCAGAUAAUUGGCACAGGUAUAGGCGAAAGCAUCACUUUAUGUAAUAACUGACGUUGAGGGACGAAGGCUAUGUGUCGCGAACAGGAUUUGAUACCCUAGUAGUCUUAGCAGAAAAUUAUGAAUGUCAUAGGUUAGAUUUUAUUUGGUCUAUAAAUGAAAGUGUAAGCAUUCCACCUCAAGAGUAAUUUGGCAACAUUGGAACUGAAAUCAUUAGACCGUUUCUGAAACCAGUAGUGAAGUAUGUUGUUUAAUUUGAUGACCCGCAAAAAACCUUACCACAAUUUGAAUAUAUUUUUACAAGCGUUGCACGGCUGUCUUCAGUUAAUGUCGUGAGAUUUUGGCUAAGACCAUUUAAUUAACGUAAACCCUAACUCUAUUUUUAUAUAGAGUUUUCCACCGUAAUAAUGGAUGUGAUAAUAGGGACUAAGACAAGUCAUCAUGGCCUUAAUAUUGUGGGCUAUAGACGUGCCACAUAGC